rnacentral:rRNA from 1 species
CCUACGGGAGGCAGCAGUAAGGAAUAUUGGACAAUGGGCGCAAGCCUGAUCCAGCCAUGCCGCGUGAAGGAUUAAGGUCCUCUGGAUUGUAAACUUCUUUUAUAGGGGACGAAAAAAGGGCAUUCUUGCUCACUUGACGGUACCCUAUGAAUAAGCACCGGCUAACUCCGUGCCAGCAGCCGCGGUAAUACGGAGGGUGCAAGCGUUAUCCGGAUUCACUGGGUUUAAAGGGUGCGUAGGCGGGCAGUUAAGUCAGUGGUGAAAUCUCCGAGCUCAACUCGGAAACUGCCAUUGAUACUAUCUGUCUUGAAUAUUGUGGAGGUAAGCGGAAUAUGUCAUGUAGCGGUGAAAUGCUUAGAUAUGACAUAGAACACCUAUUGCGAAGGCAGCUUACUACGCAUAUAUUGACGCUGAGGCACGAAAGCGUGGGGAUCAAACAGGAUUAGAUACCCUGGUAGUCCACGCCCUAAACGAUGGAUACUCGACAUACGCGAUACACUGUGUGUGUCUGAGCGAAAGCAUUAAGUAUCCCACCUGGAAGUACGUCCGCAAGGAUGAAACUUAAAUAGAAUUGACGGCUUGAGAGNGCGAGAGACACGAGGGAGAG